UAUGUGAUCGUCUCUCGCAUAUCAAUAAGCGGAGGAAAAGAAACUAACAAGGAUUCCCCUAGUAACGGCGAGUGAAGCGGGAAGAGCUCAAAUUUGAAAUCUUAAAGGGCUUCCCUUUACGAAUUGUAGUUUAAAGAAGUGUUUUCUGUUGAGGUUUUGGUAAAAGUUCUUUGGAAUAGGACAUCAUAGAGGGUGAGAAUCCCGUAUUUGACCUUUACUUUCAACUUUGUGAUACACUUUCAAAGAGUCGGAUUGUUUGGGAAUGCAGUCCAAAAUGGGUGGUAAAUUUCAUCUAAAGCUAAAUAUUGGCGAGAGACCGAUAGCGAACAAGUACCGUGAGGGAAAGAUGAAAAGAACUUUGAAAAGAGAGUUAAACAGUACGUGAAAUUGUCAAAAGGGAAGCGUUUGACACCAGUGUUGUUUUUCUGAAAAUCAAUUAAAGAACUGUUUAUGCUAAGCUGUUUAGACUUUAUCAGCUAUCUGUUUAGUUUUGAGCUUUUCUUUAAUGCACUUUUCAGUUAACAAGUCAACAUCAAUUUCUUUUGCUGUAAAAAAGCUUGAGGAAGGUGGCUUGAGAUUCGUCUUAAGUGUUUAUAGCCUCUUGCCUAUGCAGUCGGAGAGAUUGGAGGUCUGCAGCGUAGAUCCUUCGGGGCUAAAUGCAUUUGUGCUAAGUUAUAGCAUUUUAUAGACAACUUGUUGACUAUGAUUUGUCUUGUAGCUUACUCGCUUAUGUUAUUUUACCUACGCUUAGGAUGUUGAGCGCAUGUCUCUCUC
rnacentral:rRNA from 1 species